UAGUUUUGGCUUAGUUUCCAUCCAAAGUUUUUAUGCGGUCAUUGGAUUAUUCUGAAGUUAUUAAUUCAUAUUAAUUAUAAUUGUUAUCAUGCUAUUAAGAUGUUAUAAUCGUGGUGACGUUUCUCGUCAUCUUUUGGCCAACGCUCACAUGUCUGUCAUGGCGUUUCGUAGUCGUCCGAUGUUUUGUCAUCUCUAUUCUUUUAGUAGUAAAUAUGCCACUUGUGGAAAUGUGAUACGUUUAAUAUGUAUAUACAUGUGAUUACACGUACUUGUUUGCGCGGAAUAACAGAAAUGUACUGAGUAGUAAAUUUCUAUUAACUUGACUGAACUUGGGUUGCCACAGUAAUUUCACUUUUCAUGUGCCCAGUGUCCUCGUCUGUUCGCUAUAUGUCCAAAAUAUACUGCAUGUAUUUUAAUUUUCAACCUCUCAAAUUUAAUUCUGACUCAUACUCUUUAUUUUUCGUGUCAUAUUAUCAACUUUUGCAUUGUUAAUCUUCUCUUCUCAAUAACUUUUUGUUGUCAAACACCAAUUGAUUAUCAUGAUGAUUGGUAAGCUUUGUUCAUUUUCAGAGUUCAUAGAAAAAUUCAAAGUUGUGGCCUCAGUAUUUUUUGAUGGAGCAUUUGUAAGAUGAAAUUACGAAAAAAAGGCCACAUAUGACAAAGAAAAAAAUCCUGUUUCAUCAAGAUGCUGCACUGUGUCAAAAACAGCAAAAACGUUGGCAAAAAUGUCCAGGGAUAAAUAUUUAGCUCGAAUGAAGAAGUCAAUGCAAAAAUGGGUUGUAUUUUAAGGGCAAAUAUAAAUCACUCUAUAUGAAAGGCAUAGAAAUGUUAUAAUGUCUUUGGAAUGAAUGUAUCACUCUAGAUGAAAACUAUGUCGCUGAAUAAAGUCAAAUUUUGCGAAAAAAAUGUCUAUUUGUUAGUCUGAGACUUUUCGAACAACUUGUUAUGUGUGAAGUAUUUUAUUUUAUCAUAUAUAAAUAUAUAGUAUUAAUAUUUAUUUUAGAAUUUUAUUGUGUGUGUGAAAACAAUUUUAAAUUAGUUUUAAAAUUUAAUUAUACAAUAUUAUAUCCUUGUAAAUCACUCAACCACCUAUAGUUGCACUCUGUUAUUUUAUUUUAUAAAAUCAACAUUGUAAUUUUACUUGUGUCUUCACUAAAGUCUGUUAUACUUGUACAUUCUAAUAUUGAAACAUACAUCAAUAUUUUGUAUGUGGUUAUUUUAUAUUUGUUCAUAAUUAAAUGUUAAUCUUCUCUUUAACUUUA